UGGGGAAUAUUGCGCAAUGGGCGAAAGCCUGACGCAGCAACGCCGCGUGAGUGAUGAAGGCCUUCGGAUCGUAAACCCCUGUCGAAUGGGACGAAAGACUCGCGAGUGAAUACUUCGCGAGAGUGACGGUACCGUUAAAGGAAGCCACGGCUAACUCUGUGCCAGCAGCCGCGGUAAUACAGAGGUGGCAAGCGUUGUUCGGAAUUACUGGGCGUAAAGGGCGCGUAGGCGGCCCUCUAAGUCAGACGUGAAAUCCCCCGGCUUAACCUGGGAACUGCGUCUGAUACUGGAGGGCUUGAGUAUGGGAGAGGGAUGUAGAAUUCCAGGUGUAGCGGUGAAAUGCGUAGAUAUCUGGAGGAAUACCGGUGGCGAAGGCGGCAUCCUGGACCAUUACUGACGCUGAGGCGCGAAAGCUAGGGGAGCAAACGGGAUUAGAUACCCACGUAGUCCCUGAGCGGGCUGGCAAGGCGCAU
rnacentral:rRNA from 1 species